rnacentral:rRNA from 1 species
GACGAACGCUGGCGGCGUGCUUAACACAUGCAAGUCGAACGGAAAGGCCCUGCUUGCAGGGUACUCGAGUGGCGAACGGGUGAGUAACACGUGGGUGAUCUGCCCUGCACUUCGGGAUAAGCCUGGGAAACUGGGUCUAAUACCGGAUAGGAGCCAUUUUUAGUGUGAUGGUUGGAAAGUUUUUUCGGUGUAGGAUGAGCUCGCGGCCUAUCAGCUUGUUGGUGGGGUAAUGGCCUACCAAGGCGGCGACGGGUAGCCGGCCUGAGAGGGUGUACGGCCACAUUGGGACUGAGAUACGGCCCAGACUCCUACGGGAGGCAGCAGUGGGGAAUAUUGCACAAUGGGCGCAAGCCUGAUGCAGCGACGCCGCGUGGGGGAUGAAGGCCUUCGGGUUGUAAACUCCUUUCGCUAGGGACGAAGCUUUGUGUGACGGUACCUAGAUGAGAAGCAUCGGCUAACUACGUGCCAGCCGCCG